UACGUAGGGGGCAAGCGUUGUCCGGAUUUAUUGGGCGUAAAGAGCUCGUAGGCGGUUUGUCGCGUCUGCUGUGAAAACUCAGGGCUUAACCCUGAGCCUGCAGUGGGUACGGGCAGACUAGAGUGUGGUAGGGGAGAUCGGAAUUCCUGGUGUAGCGGUGGAAUGCGCAGGAUAUCAGGAGGAACACCGGUGGCGAAGGCGGAUCUCUGGGCCAUAACUGACGCUGAGGAGCGAAAGCAUGGGGAGCGAACAGG
rnacentral:rRNA from 1 species